AUUGAACGCUGGCGGCAGGCCUAACACAUGCAAGUCGAGCGGUUGAAGGGAGCUUGCUCCCUGAUUCAGCGGCGGACGGGUGAGUAAUGCCUAGGAAUCUGCCUAUUAGUGGGGGACAACGUUUCGAAAGGAACGCUAAUACCGCAUACGUCCUACGGGAGAAAGCAGGGGACCUUCGGGCCUUGCGCUAUCAGAUGAGCCUAGGUCGGAUUAGCUAGUUGGUGAGGUAAUGGCUCACCAAGGCGACGAUCCGUAACUGGUCUGAGAGGAUGAUCAGUAACACUGGAACUGAGACACGGUCCAGACUCCUACGGGAGGCAGCAGUGGGGAAUAUUGGACAAUGGGCGAAAGCCUGAUCCAGCCGUGCCGCGUGUGUGAAGAAGGUCUUCGGAUUGUAAAGCACUUUAAGUUGGGAGGAAGGGUUGUAGAUUAAUACUCUGCAAUUUUGACGUUACCGACAGAAUAAGCACCGGCUAACUCUGUGCCAGCAGCCGCCGUAACAC
rnacentral:rRNA from 1 species